rnacentral:rRNA from 1 species
CUGGGACUGAGACACGGCCCAGACUCCUACGGGAGGCAGCAGUGGGGAAUAUUGCACAAUGGGCGCAAGCCUGAUGCAGCAACGCCGCGUGAGGGACGAAGGCCUUCGGGUUGUAAACCUCUUUUAGCAGGGAAGAAGCGAAAGUGACGGUACCUGCAGAAAAAGCGCCGGCUAACUACGUGCCAGCAGCCGCGGUAAUACGUAGGGCGCAAGCGUUGUCCGGAAUUAUUGGGCGUAAAGAGCUCGUAGGCGGUUUGUCGCGUCUGCUGUGAAAAUCCGAGGCUCAACCUCGGACCUGCAGUGGGUACGGGCAAACUAGAGUGCGGUAGGGGAGAUUGGAAUUCCUGGUGUAGCGGUGGAAUGCGCAGAUAUCAGGAGGAACACCAAUGGCGAAGGCAGAUCUCUGGGCCGUAACUGACGCUGAGGAGCGAAAGCGUGGGGAGCGAACAGGAUUAGAUACCCUGGUAGUCCACGCCGUAAACGGUGGGAACUAGAUGUAGGGACCGUUCCACGGUUUCUGUGUCGCAGCUAACGCAUUAAGUUCCCCGCCUGGGGAGUACGGCCGCAAGGCUAAAACUCAAAGGAAUUGACGGGGGCCCGCACAAGCGGCGGAGCAUGCGGAUUAAUUCGACGCAACGCGAAGAACCUUACCAAGGCUUGACAUAUAGAGGAAAAGUGUAGAAAUACACUCCCCGCAAGGUCUCUAUACAGGUGGUGCAUGGUUGUCGUCAGCUCGUGUCGUGAGAUGUUGGGUUAAGUCCCGCAACGAGCGCAACCCUCGUCCUAUGUUGCCAGCACGUAAUGGUGGGAACUCAUGGGAGACUGCCGGGGUUAACUCGGAGGAAGGUGGGGAUGACGUCAAAUCAUCAUGCCCCUUAUGUCUUGGGCUUCACGCAUGCUACAAUGGCCGGUACAGAGGGCUGCAAUACCGCAAGGUGGAGCGAAUCCCAAAAAGCCGGUCUCAGUUCGGAUUGAGGUCUGCAACUCGACCUCAUGAAGUUGGAGUCGCUAGUAAUCGCAAAUCAGCAACGUUGCGGUGAAUACGUUCCCGGGCCUUGUACACACCGCCCGUCAAGUCAUGAAAGUCGGUAACACCCGAAGCCGGUGGCCCAACCUUUUGGAGGGAGCUGUCGAAGGUGGGAUCGGUAAUUAGGACUAAGUCGAAACAAGGUAGCCGUACCGGAAGGUGCGGCUG